CACAAAGACCUAAGUUAGGUGACCAGCCAAUACCAUCACAGUGACCACAAAGACCUAAGUUAGAUGACCAGCCAAUACCAUCACAGUGACCACAAAGACCUAAGUUAGGUGACCAGCCAAUACCAUCACAGUGACCACAAAGACCUAAGUUAGGUGACCAGCCAAUACCAUCACAGUGACCACAAAGACCUAAGUUAGGUGACCAGCCAAUACCAUCAUAGUGACCAGAAAGACCUAAGUUAGGUGACCAGCCAAUACCAUCACAGUGACCACAAAGACCUAAGUCAGGUGACCAGCCAAUACCAUCACAGUGACCACAAAGGGCCAAAAGCUCAAAGAUGUGGCAGAGUGUAAGACUGCAAGGUGGGAGCACCAUAACCAUCCCGAGGGAGGAAGAUAUUUGAGGGUCGGGCUCCUUAUUGGAGUGAUCUCUUCCAGUGCAGGGGUCGCUAGAGGUUCUCUAAGGGAGACUGGGUUUGAGCUGAGGUUUGAGGUGUGGAUUUCAUUUCAAGAGGCAGGGAAGGGAAAUUGUGCCUUUUACAGGUGAGAUUGUCGGAAUGAGUAAAUUUACAAGACCAGGAUAAGGACAAAUAGGUUUCUCAGAAAGGUAAGUUGGUACAGGAAUUUUAAGGAUAUUGAAUGUCUGGCUAGAGUUUUGGCUUUUACUCCACGGGUAAAGAACAGGAAGGGGAGACAGUGCAGGUGGGAUCCCAGGAACAGAGCUCUAGAGCAGAGCCGCAACGCACGUUCGACGCAUUAAUGCCAGAGAGAGGACUGUGUCAGAAAGCAGGAAAAGGAAGGGGCAGACCAGGAGGUAUUUUGAGAAAAUAAUCAAGAGACCUGGGCAUCUGACUAGAUGAGGUUCAGGGGAGGUAGGAGGUAAAGGGAACUCUAAGAUCUUCCACUGGGUACUUAUUUAAAGGGGUGGUGCCUUCAACAGAAAAUAGGGACACUGUGGGGGACAGCGAGCUGGAUUUGGUGAUGGGAUAUUGAGGACCUUAGUUUCAGUGUUGAUUUUUAAGUAAUGCCAGAUCAUCCAAAGAACUUUGACUGAAAAUUGUUUGGAGAAGCAGGAAUGGAGAUUAGGAAAGAGGACCAGGCUUGAAGUUCAGAUCCUUGCAGGAGAGAACUUGCUAUCAAGGGCCAUCUCACCGUAUGUAUGUAUGUACUCAUUUAGUCAUUCAUUUAUUUGCUCUCCAUUCACUCAUUAAUUCAUUUUAUUUUCCUUUAUCCAUCUAAUAAUUCAUUCAUUCAUUCAUCAUAUUCUUAUUGGAAUCCCUGCUUGGUGCUAGGCAUCAUAAUGCCAUUGAAAAAAGUGACAAGACACAGUCCUGCCCCCAAGUUGCUUAAUGCUGAAUGUCCCAAUCUUUGCUUGUAAGUGUCUUGACUUUCACCAGCUUCUCUCCUAAUUUCUGCCUCAGUUUCUCUUCCUGUAGAUAAGGGCUGCCAUUGCAAGAUGUAGAAUUAAGAUGUUUCAGUUUUGCUGAAGUGGGGACCCAUGGAAGGGAAUAUAGAGUUAUAUUUUCUACACAUUCUAGGACAUUUGUUCCUUUUAAAUUUAAAACAGAUAGAAAGGACAUUUGCCAGGGCAGAAAAAGCUAGUUUUCCAGACAGUGAUCAUAUUUGAGUUGCAUUUCCAAGUCACUGGAGCCCAAAGGUAUUGCCUUCCUGGAAGUUAUCUGCUGAGGACACACUGUCUUUGGGACUGAAUCCAAAGCACCCGCCCCCCCAGCAGGCAGGUGCAGCCUUGUUCUUCUGCAGGCCUUGGUGGAACUGGGGCUUGGGAACUGAGUCCCACAGGGUGGAUUUGUCUGUGAAAGAUUUGCUGGGUUUGAAAUCCUAUCUUUGUUUGUUUUUGCACAUGGAGCUCCUCUUCGUGCAUCUGGUCAAUAGUUUAUUCCCAAGAAUGUGAAGUCAUUGUUGGCCAGGGAACUUCAGCCCUUGGAAUUUGGUCUUUAACUCCUGAGUGAGUGUCUGUUGUCUGGAUUCCUUGUGUCCUCGGCACCCCGGGGGUUCGCCUCCAAGCAGGCGGGUGCUGGGAGACAGGACCAUGUGUAGACCAGUGGACAUGAGGAAGAACUCUUCCAGUGUUUUCUGCCCUGGUGUAGUGACUCGUAAAUAUGAUCUUCAUUUGUUUCAUGUGCUGCCAGAGGUGCCUGCGGUCCUGUUUUUCCUGCGUCUUUCAAGCACUUCUCCCCAUUCCCCACGAUUCGUCAGUCUUUGCCACCUGGGAAGGUGCUAUGUGAUUUCCACAGAGUGGUCAGAAUAAUCUCCCGAAGAGCUUUUGGAAAGCCCCAGGCCCUUUGUGGCACUUGCCAGGGACAGAGCUUUCAACCUCCAGGGGCCAAAAAUCACAUCGUAUUCUAGGUGAAUUUUGCCCCCUUGGAGCGCACCUCCCUAGAAUGUGAGACCGUUAGCGCCCCCUGCUGUCUGGGGAUCCGGAGGUGGUGGGAAGAUGUCCCCCUGCUGUGCAGGCUGCAUGACCUGCUCCUCAAACACAGCCUCCACUUGUUCCCAUGCCGGAGGGAGCAUCGGGCUGUGGACGAGGGUCUCUCCAAUUCGAUGGAAAUUCCUUGGAGGCUGGAACUGGGACUUUCGCCCGCUCUUCACCACUUGCUCACACCACAGCACUCAGCACACAGAAGACACAGGCUGUUGCUGCUGUUGGUUGAACCAAAGAAAUCUCUGGGUUCUUUAUGAGGGCUGGGAUGAGAGAAGUGGCUUAGAUUAUGCUCUGGUUAUCUAGUGCUGUGUAACGAACCAUCCUACAGCCUGGUGAGAUAAAACAAGAAGCAUUUAAUUAUGCUUAUAGAUUCUGUGGGACAGAAAUUUAAAUAUGGCACCCCCAGGGUGGCUUGUCUCUGUUCCACAGUGUCUGAGGACUCAGCUGGGAAGACUAGCGUGUCUGAGGGGGACUCAAGGAACAGGAGCUGGAGUCAUCUGGAGACUUCUUCACACAUGUCUGGUGCCAGACUGAUGCUAGGAUGCCAUGACAACUGGCUCAGGGGGUUACCCACCAGAGUGCCUACCUGUGGCCCCUUCAUGUGACUUGGGCUUCCUUCAAGCAUGGUGGCCUCAGGGUCAUCAUACUUGUGACCUGGAGGCUCAGAGCUCUAAGAGCAAGUGUUCUGGUAAACAAGCCCUUUUAUACCCAGACUCAGAGGCCAGUUCCACCAUCUUCUGUUGAUCAGAGCAGUCACAGACCCUUCCACAGUCAAGGGGAGAGAUGCCUCACCUUCGGUGGAAAGAACGUCAAAGCAUUUGAGGCCAUGCUUUAAAACUGCCACAGAUCCACCCAAAUGGAGAAUGUCCCUCAGUAUCAGAGACAGAGCAGGUUCACAGGGACACGUAGCAGCAAGGUCUCCAGGCGAGGCAGCCAGCAGCGCCACCCGUGGGAGCUGCUCUGGGUCUGGGCACAGGUGCUUCCAUUGUCGUCUGAGCACAAGGCUCAGACCUUCAGUCACAUCAACCUGAGGACUGUGAAGAACUUUCAUGCCAAACUUCCUCCAAGAAGCUCUUUCUGGUCCCCAAGGGUCCAUAUUUCCCAUGACUUCUCUGAUUCAGGAAGAUGAUCCUUGCAGGGCCUCUCCUGGGGCAGUGUUAACCAGACUCAAUGUGCUACUACCGUUGGUGGCAUUUAGUUCCGAUGCUUCUCCCUUGGGCCUUGUCCUCAAAGUCCUGGACCCAGCCUGUGGCCCUGGAGGAAGCUUAUCUUUGUUUGACCUUUUAUCUGAACAACCAUGGGGAUUUCCAGUUUCCAGUUUGGGAUUCUAGUGUACGUCUGUGCAGUGCAUCAUGGACUGACUUCACCCCCUCGAGCAUUACUUUAAAUGUUUAGAGAUAAACUUUGUCAUCUGUGCAUCACUGUGACAGCUACGAAACUAGAAAAGAGAACAUUGAGGCUAUUUUGGGUAGCAUUUUUUUUUUUCAAUUCAAAUAAUCUUGAGUUCCUUAAGACUUACCAGCACUUUUUGGCCAUCUGGUCAGAUUCGUUUGCCACUGGAAAAGCAUUUUACUGUUAGAAUGUUGGGUCCAGGAAUGUCCUCAAUGGGAGCAGCAUGACUUAGAAUGGAAUCUUUGCCUAUUACUCAGACUUGCAACUUGAAUCUCCCAGGAGAAGCUGCUGAUUUUGGUGCUGGAAAAUAUCCUACGAGGACUAUUCUAAGUUAUAUCUCAAGCUGCUUUCCGAACUAAGGAUGCUCUUAUCAGCUUCUGGAACUUUAAGCAAGAGGCCUACUAGGCACAAGCCUUGAUGUUUCAUGAAGAAAUUAUCUUCCUAUUUAUCUUUAAAAGAAUUCAUUUCUAUUUUGAGGGUAAUCCAAGAUAAAAAGGGGCGAUGAGAUGUAGAGAGUGACGGAAGCAAGAGAUGGGAGAAGGAGAUGGGAGCUUGGAGAAGACGUUAGGGAGUGAUAAAGUCACCUGGAUGGAAAUGCAUCUUCUCAGGCUUGGAGCUUCCAGAGUGGGAGAACUCUGUAUUUCUGUGUUUUUGGGAUAUCUCAGUGCCUGGCUCAUGGGAGGACCUCAGGAAUGGAUGGGGGGAUCAAUAGCAACCUGGGGGGUGAGUUUCAGGCAGGAUUCACCCUGGCAAAAUAGCAGUGCCUGGCACACAGAAGACACCAAGCUUGUUAAAUAGCUGAAGAGGAGCUGUCACCUUCAGCCCCAUGCCAUAGCUCGGAUGCAGGCCAUCGUUGGAAGAGGUCCUAAUGACAUCAGAAAGGCGCUGGCAGCCAUAAAUACCCUGAGGUGUUUGGCACCGUACAAAGUGCUUGGGUUUUGGGUUCUGUGGAAGGUUGUUUCUAAAGAUGGUGGCCAAAAUCCUGGCAAGUCCUUAUGCCCUUUUGAAAUGUGGCUUUGUCUCUCCUCUCAUCCUGAGGUGGAGUCCACCGCCUCUCCCGUGGAGUCUGGGAUGGCCCUUUGACCUGCUUUGACCAACAGAAGUAGAAGAAGCAAUGCUAUUUUACAUCCAAAUGUAGGCUUUAGUCUACCUUGUGGUUUCCAUUUUCACUCUUUGGGAGUCCUGAGCCACCACAAAAGGAAGUCCCUCUAUCCUUCUGGAGAAAGCACGUGAAGAAGGAGAGACCCCGGAGAGGGAAACUUGGAUCUAAGAAGCCCAGAGAGCUGAGCCCUGGAGUUUGCAGGUGAUGGAAAGUCAAAACCAGGAUCAGAGUCACUAGGAGCCAGAGUCACACAUAACUGAAACUUGGGGGAGCUGGAGCUCCAAGCGGACCAAGGAAGCUGGCCCACAGAGCAGCCCUCUCUUCUCAGGAAUCAGACGUAAGUCCCUGGGGUGCUGGAGCAGAGACAAAUCAAAAUGAAAGAAUUGCGUUUUCUCUUCAGCAAUCAAGAUGCUGCUACUAGGGAGAUGCAGUAGAGAGACAAAAAUGUGGCCAACACUGGAGCAGCGAGGGGAGAGCAUGGUUAGAAGACGACUCUGACCCCAAGAGCAGUUCCUGUCCACUUGCAACUUCCCGAUCCUUGAAGACCACACUUGCGACUUGCCAUUUGAGCCUGAAGGGGUUUCUAGUUUUCCUUCUUGUCACCUGACUUUUAGCCCUUUUCCUGUCCUUCGUCAGCCUUCUCCAUAGUGUGGAAAAGGGAGAUGAAAGAUGAAAUAAUCAUGAAAGUUUUGCUAGGCUGGAUGAUGAUAGAACUGAAGAAUGAUGAAGCCAGAAAGAGGCCCUGGAGAUAAUCUAAUCCAGUUCCUCCAUUUGGAAAAGACACAUCUAAGAGUGAAGGAAGACUAAAAUCGAAAGGCGAAGUGGGAGACUGAGCUCCGGGAACACGCAGGCCCUCAGAUCCUGGAGCCGUGCAGGGGGCGUUCCUGCUGUCUUGGCUGUUCCCUGUGCUGCUCACCGCCCCACCCAGGAGAGGCAGAGAGGCCCAGAGGCUGAGGGCCUGGACCAGCCGGCUGUGAGUCUGGGGUAUUUCCCUCAGUGCACGCAGGACCUUGGGACCGAACCUGCAGGAGACGCUCUGUAAACGCCCUCGGGAAUGGAUGAACGACUGGAGCAUGACUUCUUGGAUGAAGAGAGAAGGAUUGGACUACUAGACAAGCAAGUGGAAUGUUCUCAAAGUGACUGCUGCCUUCUGUCCGAUUUGAAUCCAUGUUGAUGGUCUGAAUGGCUUCAGGUAGCUUUGUUCAUGGGCAACGCUCCUACUUUUAUUCAUUUAUUCAUUCACAUUUAUGUGCUAGCCCCAGCUUUAAGGCAUUGCUACGGUUAACAAAGCACACGUUUCUCAUGAAACCCCAACUUCAAUAAUUAAGCUGUUGUGUUAUCCAUCAGCUUAGCCAGGCGCUCCCUACAAGGAUGGCAGGCUGAUCAACAGGCGGGCAGAAAGGCUGAUUAACACAAUCGGGAUUUUGUUUGGUGUCAGCUUCAACUACUUACGAAUGGCUGGAGACGUGAGUGGGCCCCUGCUCCUCUCAUUUGACACAUCCUAAUUAAGAUGAACAAAAUAAAAAAAGCAGGC
ensembl:lncRNA